AACGAACGCUGGCGGCAUGCCUAACACAUGCCAGUCGAACGAGAUCUUCGGAUCUAGUGGCGCACGGGUGCGUAACGCGUGGGAAUCUGCCCCUUGCUUCGGAAUAACAGUGAGAAAUUACUGCUAGUACCGGAUGAUGUCUUCGGACCAAAGAUUUAUCGGCAAGGGAUGAGCCCGCGUAGGAUUAGGUAGUUGGUGGGGUAAUGGCCUACCAAGCCGACGAUCCUUAGCUGGUCUGAGAGGAUGAUCAGCCACACUGGGACUGAGACACGGCCCAGACUCCUACGGGAGGCAGCAGUGGGGAAUAUUGGACAAUGGGCGAAAGCCUGAUCCAGCAAUGCCGCGUGAGUGAUGAAGGCCUUAGGGUUGUAAAGCUCUUUUACCAGGGAUGAUAAUGACAGUACCUGGAGAAUAAGCUCCGGCGAACUCCGU
rnacentral:rRNA from 1 species